AUUCCAGCUCCAAUAGUGUAUAUUAAAGUUGUUGCAGUUAAAAAGCUCGUAGUUGGAUUUCUGGCGGGAGCGAUCGGUCCUUCACUCAGUGUUGGAACCUGAUUGUCUCCUGCCAUCCAUGGAGAAAACUUAUCUGGCAUUAAGUUGUCGGGUAGGCAAUCUCCAUCUUUUACUGUGAAAAAAUUAGAGUGUUCAAAGCAGGCUUAUGCCGUUGAAUAUAUUAGCAUGGAAUAAUAAGAUAGGACUAUGGUACUAUUUUGUUGGUUUGUGCACCAUGGUAAUGAUUAAUAGGGACAGUUGGGGGUAUUCGUAUUCCAUUGUCAGAGGUGAAAUUCUUGGAUUAGUUAAAGACUAACGUAUGCGAAAGCAUUUGCCAAGGAUGUUUUCAUCA
rnacentral:rRNA from 1 species